UACAGAGGUCUCAAGCGUUGUUCGGAUUCAUUGGCGUAAAGGGUGCGUAGGCGGCGCGGUAAGUCGGGUGUGAAAUCUCGGAGCUUAACUCCGAAACUGCAUUCGAUACUGCCGUGCUUGAGGACUGGAGAGGAGACUGGAAUUUACGGUGUAGCGGUGAAAUGCGUAGAUAUCGUAAGGAAGACCGGUGGCGAAGGCGGGUCUCUGGGAAGUAACUGACGCUGAGAAGCGAAAGCGUGGGUAGCGAACAGG
rnacentral:rRNA from 1 species